GUUUUAAUAAUUUAAAAAAAAAUAUUGGUCUUGUAAACCAAAAUUAAGAGCAUCUUUUAAAACU
rnacentral:tRNA from 1 species